CUCACACCUGCCCCGCGCCGGCCCAUUUUCAGUAACUCUUUCACAACCCGCCCGACUUCUGCAGCCUCUGCCUUGUGGUUCCCCAUUCCGCCUUCCAGUAAAGGCCAGCUCAGAACGCUCCUGAUUGCUCCACACACCCGGCCCCGGGGUGCUAGGCGCUGUACGUCCACCUAGCGGAGAGGGUUAGCCCUGAAAAGUGUAUCAGCUGAACAAAGAUGAAGGAGGAUCCCAUCCUCGUACUCAUGGGAAACUGAGGCACGGAGAGAGGACGUGCCUUGCCCGGUGUCUCACAGGGACAGAGCGGCAGAGACAGGGCUCCCUACCUAGCAUGGGGACCCCGAUGUAAUACGGGGGAGCGGAAUCAUAAGCGAGGUAAUCUCACAUUGGAGACAGGAGGCUGAAAGCAGCGUUUCUACAUGGAGCAGGAACUGAGCUUCUCCCAUCACCCCAUGACUCCGGGAGCUGGGGCUUUAGGAAAAACCCAGAGACUGCAGCCUGAUGCAAGAGGUGACAGCAGGGAGAAGCCAGGAUUCUCAUCAGCCCAGGGUUUUGUGUGUUUAGUUGAUUGUGUUGCCCUGGGAAUCCUUACUAAUGAAUAAAGUUAGACUGGGGCGUA